rnacentral:rRNA from 1 species
UCCCAGACUCCUACGGGAGGCAGCAGUGGGGAAUAUUGCACAAUGGGGGAAACCCUGAUGCAGCAACGCCGCGUGAGCGAUGAAGUAUUUCGGUAUGUAAAGCUCUAUCAGCAGGGAAGAAGAUGACGGUACCUGACUAAGAAGCCCCGGCUAACUACGUGCCAGCAGCCGCGGUAAUACGUAGGGGGCAAGCGUUAUCCGGAUUUACUGGGUGUAAAGGGAGCGUAGACGGCGAUGCAAGCCAGAUGUGAAAGCCCGGGGCUCAACCCCGGGACUGCAUUUGGAACUGUGUGGCUGGAGUGUCGGAGAGGCAGGCGGAAUUCCUAGUGUAGCGGUGAAAUGCGUAGAUAUUAGGAGGAACACCAGUGGCGAAGGCGGCCUGCUGGACGAUGACUGACGUUGAGGCUCGAAAGCGUGGGGAGCAAACAGGAUUAGAUACCCGUGUA